rnacentral:rRNA from 1 species
UACAGAGGUGGCAAACGUUGUCCGGAUUUAUUGGGUGUAAAGGGCAUGUAGGCGGUCUUGUAAGUCAAAGGUGAAAUGGCCCGGCUUAACCAGGUCAUUGCCUUUGAAACUGCAGGGCUUGAGUACGGAAGAGGAUCGCGGAAUUCCCGGUGUAGAGGUGAAAUUCGUAGAUAUCGGGAGGAACACCAGUGGCGAAGGCGGCGAUCUGGGCAGAUACUGACACUGAGGUGCGAAAGCGUGGGGAGCAAACAGG